rnacentral:rRNA from 1 species
GUGAGGAAUUUUCCGCAAUGGGCGAAAGCCUGACGGAGCAAUGCCGCGUGAAGGAUGAAGGCCUAUGGGUUGUAAACUUCUUUUCUCAGAAAAGAAUUAUGACGGUAUCUGAGGAAUAAGCAUCGGCUAACUCUGUGCCAGCAGCCGCGGUAAGACAGAGGAUGCAAGCGUUAUCCGGAAUGAUUGGGCGUAAAUCGUCUGUAGGUUGUUUAAAAAGUAUUCUGUCAAAGAUUAGGGCUUAACCCUAGAUAGGCAGAAUAAACUUUUAAGCUAGAGUAUGGUAGAGGCAGAGGGAAUUCCCGGUGGAGCGGUGAAAUGCGUAGAUAUCGGGAGGAACACCAAAGGCGAAGGCACUCUGCUGGGCCAAUACUAACACUGAGAGACGAAAGCGAGGGGAGCAAAUGGGAUUAGAAACCCUAGUAGUCC